UACGUGGGGUGCGAGCGUUAUCCGGAUUUACUGGGCGUAAAGCGUACCGUCGGUGACUUGAUAAGUUAUUUGUCUAAGCCUAGGGCUCAACUCUAGAAAGGCAGGUAAAACUAUCAGGACUGAGUCUGUUCGGGGAACUUGGAAUUCUCGGUGGAGGGGUGAAAUCCGUAGAUAUCGAGAGGAACGCCAAGCGCGAAGGCAGAGUUCUAGGACACGACUGACACUCAUGGACGAAAGCUAGGGGAGCAAAAGGG
rnacentral:rRNA from 1 species